AUACGAAGGCGGCAAGCGUUGUUUGGAAUAACUGGGCGUAAAGCGCACGUAGGCGGAAUGUUAAGUUAGAGGUGAAAUCCCAGGGCUCAACCCUGGAACUGCCUUUAAUACUGGCAAUCUAGAGACCGAGAGAGGUGAGUGGAAUUCCGAGUGUAGAGGUGAAAUUCGUAGAUAUUCGGAGGAACACCAGUGGCGAAGGCGGCUCACUGGCUCGGUACUGACGCUGAGGUGCGAAAGCGUGGGGAGCAAACAGGAUUAGAAACCCUAGUAGUCC
rnacentral:rRNA from 1 species